UGGCCUACGGGACGCAGCAGUGAGGAAUAUUGGUCAAUGGCCGGAAGGCUGAACCAGCCAAGCCGCGUGAGGGAGGAAGGCGCAGAGCGUCGCAGACCUCUUUUGCCGGGGGACAAAAGGCCGGACUCGUCCGGUCCUGAGGGUACCCGGAGAAAAAGCAUCGGCUAACUCCGUGCCAGCAGCCGCGGUAAUACGUAGGGGGCAAGCGUUAUCCGGAUUUAUUGGGUUUAAAGGGUGCGCAGGCGGACCAUCAAGUCAGCGGUAAAAUCGUGGGGCCCAACCCCAUCCCGCCGUUGAAACUGGCG
rnacentral:rRNA from 1 species